CGGACGUGCGGCGUGCUAUAAUGCAAGUCGUGCGGACCUUUUAAAAGCUUGCUUUUAAAAGGUUAGCGGCGGACGGGUGAGUAACACGUGGGCAACCUGCCUGUAAGACUGGGAUAACGCCGGGAAACCGGGGCUAAUACCGGAUAGUUUUUUCCUCCGCAUGGAGGAAAAAGGAAAGGCGGCUUCGGCUGCCACUUACAGAUGGGCCCGCGGCGCAUUAGCUAGUUGGCGGGGUAAUGGCCCACCAAGGCAACGAUGCGUAGCCGACCUGAGAGGGUGAUCGGCCACAUUGGGACUGAGACACGGCCCAAACUCCUACGGGAGGCAGCAGUAGGGAAUCUUCCGCAAUGGACGAAAGUCUGACGGAGCAACGCCGCGUGAGUGAAGAAGGCCUUCGGGUCGUAAAACUCUGUUGCCGGGGAAGAACAAGUGCCGUUCGAACAGGGCGGCGCCUUGACGGUACCCGGCCAGAAAGCCACGGCUAACUACGUGCCAGCAGCCGCGGUAAUACGUAGGUGGCAAGCGUUGUCCGGAAUUAUUGGGCGUAAAGCGCGCGCAGGCGGCUUCUUAAGUCUGAUGUGAAAUCUUGCGGCUCAACCGCAAGCGGUCAUUGGAAACUGGGAGGCUUGAGUGCAGAAGAGGAGAGUGGAAUUCCACGUGUAGCGGUGAAAUGCGUAGAGAUGUGGAGGAACACCAGUGGCGAAGGCGGCUCUCUGGUCUGUAACUGACGCUGAGGCGCGAAAGCGUGGGGAGCAAACAGGAUUAGAUACCCUGGUAGUCCACGCCGUAAACGAUGAGUGCUAAGUGUUAGAGGGUUUCCGCCCUUUAGUGCUGCAGCUAACGCAUUAAGCACUCCGCCUGGGGAGUACGGGCCGCAAGGCUGAAACUCAAAGGAAUUGACGGGGGCCCGCACAAGCGGUGGAGCAUGUGGUUUAAUUCGAAGCAACGCGAAGAACCUUACCAGGUCUUGACAUCCUCUGACCUCCCUGGAGACAGGGCCUUCCCCUUCGGGGGACAGAGUGACAGGUGGUGCAUGGUUGUCGUCAGCUCGUGUCGUGAGAUGUGGGUUAAGUCCCGCAACGAGCGCAACCCUUGACCUUAGUUGCCAGCAUUGAGUUGGCACUCUAAGGUGACUGCCGGGUGACAAA
rnacentral:rRNA from 1 species